UUACCCUACUGAUGGAGGGUUAUCGCAAUAGUAAUUCAACUUAGUACGAGAGGAACCGUUGAUUCACGUAAUUGGUAUUUGCGGCUGUCCGAUCGGGCAAUGCCGCGAAGCUACCACGUGUUGGAUUAUGGCUGAACGCCUCUAAGCCAGAAUCCGUGCUAGAAACGAUGAUGUUUGUCCCGCGAAUCUUAGUCGAGUUAAGAUAGAGCUUUGCUCGUAAACCAUAUUUGACGGGUCCGGUGAUCUUGGCGGAAAGGCCUUGGUUACUAUCCUGUGAAUUGCAUUCGAAAUAUACGCGGGGGUGAAUCCUUUGCAGACGACUUGAAUAGAACGGAGUACUGUAAGCAGUAGAGUAG
rnacentral:rRNA from 14 species